ACUUCCGGCGGCCCGCCGCCUGUCCUCUGCACGGCCCGUGCCCCAGGCUUCGUCCACCCGCUUCCCAUCAGCUGCCCCCAGGACGCGGCGGGGACCCAGGGGAGCACCCGUCUGGAUGAGGCCCCAGCGCUCCUCCCUGCGGCACUGGGAGGUCCCCACCCCCCGGACCGUGCCCGCAGGUGACACCACGUACAACAAACGCCAUUAUUUAUUUUGGUGUUUCCAAAAAUCAGAAUGUUUUCAAACACAACUAAUAUAAAAUACAGCAUACGAUGAGAUUGAUACCUAUUUUCCCACAUGAAGCAAAAAAUAUUUUCGGAAAUUAUCUUUGCCAACACCAACUGGUCGGUCGCUUAUCGUUCCUCCCGGCGACGGCACGGCACCACCCCCACCCGGGCACGGCUGCUCAGGCCGGGCUGGUGGCAGCAACCUCCUGCCGGCGAUGGGGGGGCUGUCUCCAGGCGCAGGGCUGGGGAGUGCCCUUCCGUGGGGCUGUCAGGCUGUGCUGGGGGGUGGACAGAGCCCCCUGGGCCCAGGCCGAGUCAGAAA